UGAGGAAUAUUGGUCAAUGGACGAGAGUCUGAACCAGCCAAGUAGCGUGAAGGAUGACUGCCCUAUGGGUUGUAAACUUCUUUUAUACGGGGAUAAAGUUAGCCACGUGUGGUUUUUUGCAUGUACCGUAUGAAUAAGGAUCGGCUAACUCCGUGCCAGCAGCCGCGGUAAUACGGAGGAUCCGAGCGUUAUCCGGAUUUAUUGGGUUUAAAGGGAGCGUAGGCGGGGUAUUAAGUCAGUUGUGAAAGUUUGCGGCUCAACCGUAAAAUUGCAGUUGAUACUGGUAUCCUUGAGUGCAGCAGAGGUGGGCGGAAUUCGUGGUGUAGCGGUGAAAUGCUUAGAUAUCACGAAGAACUCCGAUUGCGAAGGCAGCUCACUGGAGUGUAACUGACGCUGAUGCUCGAAAGUGUGGGUAUCAAACAGGAUUAGAUACCCUGGUAGUCCACACAGUAAACGAUGAAUACUCGCUGUUUGCGAUAUACAGUAAGCGGCCAAGCGAAAGCAUUAAGUAUUCCACCUGGGGAGUACGCCGGCAACGGUGAAACUCAAAGGAAUUGACGGGGGCCCGCACAAGCGGAGGAACAUGUGGUUUAAUUCGAUGAUACGCGAGGAACCUUACCCGGGCUUAAAUUGCAAAUGAAUAUGCCGGAAACGGCAUAGCCGCAAGGCAUUUGUGAAGGUGCUGCAUGGUUGUCGUCAGCUCGUGCCGUGAGGUGUCGGCUUAAGUGCCAUAACGAGCGCAACCCUUAUCUUCAGUUACUAACAGGUCAUGCUGAGGACUCUGGAGAGACUGCCGUCGUAAGAUGUGAGGAAGGUGGGGAUGACGUCAAAUCAGCACGGCCCUUACGUCCGGGGCUACACAUGUGUUACAAUGGGGGGUACAGAAGGCCGCUACACAGCGAUGUGAUGCCAAUCCCUAAAGCCCCUCUCAGUUCGGAUCGAAGUCUGCAACCCGACUUCGUGAAGCUGGAUUCGCUAGUAAUCGCGCAUCAGCCACGGCGCGGUGAAUACGUUCCC
rnacentral:rRNA from 1 species